GGAAAAAUACAUCAGUAACGUGCAACGACUGAGCUUUGGGGUGUCCUUGUGACAGCGCGAGUGCUUUUGGUAACGUUUCAGACUGCUUUGCUACUUAUAACUUUCACAGAAUAAGAAGAAGACUUGCUGUGCUACUUAGGCUAUCACUUUCACAGAAUAAGAAGAAGUCUUGCUGCUGAUUUCUGCCUGUGUGCCGCUAGCCUGUCACUUUUUUCGACAUGCCGACGUCUCCGGUGAAAACGCGAAUUCCUCUGACUAGUUUCGGACAUAUGAUAUCCGAAGUGAAGAGGCAGUUGUUUGGCAUAGAGGCUCCUGCAGCUGUAGAGUUGACUGGAUGGAAGAGACACUUCAAUACCUACACACUGCAGGGACGCCGGAAUUUUGUGCUGGUGACAUACGCAGCUCUGGCUCUGGGUGCUGUGGCUUAUGCUGUCAACCGCAGGAAGAAACAGGAAGUGGCCGAGAGCAGCACCUCACCCAAGCCCUGACACACCCUUACACCCCAUGAGAGAGUGUGUGUGUGUGUGUGUGUGUGUGUGUGUGUGUGUGUGUGUGAGUGAGAGAGAGAGAGCUGCUAUUUCGUCUAUUACACCUGAAUCAGAUUUAAUGUCAUGUUUGGUAAAAGAAAUGUAGACACAUGGAUGGUGGAGGAUAUUUACAGCCAUGGUCUCCUGAAACAGUAUGAAUAUGGGUGAUUUAAUGUAAUGUUUGGUGCACUCUAUCACUCUUGUUUUCAUACCACUUGGACAGGGAAAUGUAGACAAAUUAAAGAAAAGGCCUCAAACAGAAUCAUAAGGCACAGAAA